CCGAGUUAAGAAAUCUACCAUCUUGGCAGUUCUGGCAUAUCGGGGAAUGCCAACUUGAGUUCAACUUCAGAAGACACAAUAGGCUUCCUGGAGGGAAUAUAGAGGACCUCAGGAUACACACUUGGUCACUGGAUUGAGAUUCUUGAAUGUUAGAAGAAAGAUCCAGACCAACUCUUGCUCUGUCAUCCAGACUAGAGUGCAGUGGCGUAACCUUGGCUCACUGCAACCUCUGCCUCCUGGAUUCACGUGAUUCUCCUGCCUCAGCCUCCCGAGUAGCUGGAAUUACAGGCAUGGAUGGCCACACCUGGAUAAUUUUUGUAUUUUUAGUAGAGAUGGGGUUUCACCAUGUUGGCCAGGCUUGUCUCGAACUCCUGAGCUCAGAUAAUCUGCCCGCCUCUGCCUCCCAAAGUGCUGGGAUUACCAGCGUGAGCCACCGCACCC
rnacentral:lncRNA from 1 species